AACACAUGCAAGUCGAACGGUGACCUCGGAGCUUGCUCCGGCGAUCAGUGGCGAACGGGUGAGUAACACGUGAGUAACCUGCCCCUGGCUCUGGGAUAACCCCGGGAAACCGAGGCUAAUACCGGAUAUGACACAGACAGGCAUCUGUACUGUGUGGAAAGUUUUUCGGCUAGGGAUGGACUCGCGGCCUAUCAGCUUGUUGGUGAGGUAACGGCCCACCAAGGCGACGACGGGUAGCCGGCCUGAGAGGGCGACCGGCCACACUGGGACUGAGACACGGCCCAGACUCCUACGGGAGGCAGCAGUGGGGAAUAUUGCGCAAUGGGCGAAAGCCUGACGCAGCGACGCCGCGUGAGGGAUGAAGGCCUUCGGGUUGUAAACCUCUUUCAGCAGGGAAGAAGCGAAAGUGACGGUACCUGCAGAAGAAG
rnacentral:rRNA from 1 species